AAGAAUUACAAAAAUAUGAAAGCUCACCUGACAGGAACAGACUGUAGCAGAGAAGAUCUUGAUGUCUGCAGUUGAUCAGAUGAAGGAAAUGACCCGCCAGGUUCAGUCAGAGAUGAUGGCUGUACUGACCCAGAUGAAUGAAGAUGGGAUGGACCCUUGGCUCAUUUGCGGGUGCAGAGCCUUUCUCUAGAGAUGCUGUGAACGUCUUACUGCAGCCUACCAGAUCACAGAGAGAGAUUUACGUUUGAACUUGUUUCACAUCUACGCUAGGAAAAUGGACCAAAACAAUGUACACUAUACAGAUUUUCAUCCAAUCAAAUGCUGUAUGGAAUGAGAAAAUCCCUCCCUCUGUAACCAUCCAGUAAGUAGCAAAUCAUUACAGUGAGCCCUUUUAUUAUGUCCCAUCCAAAACGUCAUGAUUGAUAGGAAAUACAUCAAUAAAGAAGGUGAUUUAAUGGGAUCUAGAUGCACCAUAAUUCCAGUAAUUUUACUCUGCUAGCCAUCUAUUCCUUUAUAUACAUUUGCAAUCUGCAUUAGAGAAGAGUACAUAAUGUUGUUCCUUUAAAUGCUGUUUAACUGCAGUACAUUUAUUUCUGUCCAGCUGUACUAUAACAUGACCAUACUGGGUAAUAAAUGAGUAAAUUGACCUUUUAAAUGUAAAACAACCAUUACAAUUAAACAAUGUCUCUAAUAAAUAAGGUUGAUUUGAAACCACCAACACAAAAAGGGAAAUCCUAAAUUCACCUCGUGUCAUCAAUAUUACUAUGAUGUUACCACAGCAACCAAUAAAGGAAAUGAAAUUAUAUCAGUGGUAAACGGCAAUGGAGCCUAUUCCUUUGUGUUUCAGUUCAAAUGGUAUAAGCAUCAAAUAUUUUAAAACCAGGAACUGCAUAAAGACAAAUGAGUUAAAUACUAAAACAAUUGAUUCAUUUAAAUAGCCAGGUGCAAAAAUACAGAAAGUCUUUGCAUGUGCUGAUUAAUAAAUGAAGCCCAAGAAUGACUUGAUCAUUAUAUUUAACAGACAACUCAAAUACAAGAGGCUAAUUUGACUGUCAUUGAGUGUAUAUCCAAUAC